rnacentral:rRNA from 1 species
GACGAACGCUGGCGGCGUGCUUAACACAUGCAAGUCGAACGAAGUGGCGAACGGGUGAGUAACCCGUCAUCAACCUGCCCUUCAGAGGGGUACAACAGUUGGAAACGACGGCUCAUACCGCAUACGGAAGGGGGGGUUUGCGUCUGAUUAGCUAGUUGGAGGGGUAACGGCCGACCAAGGCGAUCAUCAGUAGCCGGUCUGAGAGGAUGAACCGCAACAUGGGGCCUGUAACACGGCUCAGACUCCUACGGGUGGUAGCAGUGGGGAAUCGUCCGCAAUGGAGGACAGCCUUACGGAGCAACGCCGCGGGAGGGAUGACGGCCGUCGGGUUGUAAAGCUCUGUUAAUCGGGAAUCGGUACCGGAACAGAAAGCCACGGCUAACUACGUGCCAGCAGCCGCGGUAAUUC